rnacentral:rRNA from 1 species
CCAACAGGGAUUGCCUUAGUAACGGCGAGUGAAGCGGCAACAGCUCAAAUUUGAAAUCUGGCCUUUGGUCCGAGUUGUAAUUUGCAGAGGAUGCUUCGGGCGCGGUGCCUUCCAAGUCCCCUGGAACGGGGCGCCGGAGAGGGUGAGAGCCCCGUACGGUUGGCGGCCAAGCCUGUGUGAAGCUCCUUCGACGAGUCGAGUAGUUUGGGAAUGCUGCUCUAAGCGGGAGGUAGACCCCUUCUAAAGCUAAAUACCGGCCAGAGACCGAUAGCGCACAAGUAGAGUGAUCGAAAGAUGAAAAGCACUUUGAAAAGAGGGUUAAACAGCACGUGAAAUUGUUGAAAGGGAAGCGCUUGUGACCAGACGUGCGCCGGGGUGUUCAGCGGGCGUUCUCGCCCGUGCACUCGCCUCGGUGCAGGCCAGCGUCGGUUUGGGUGGGGGGAUAAAGGCGUCUGGAAUGUGGCUCCUCCGGGAGUGUUAUAGCCAGAUGUGCCAUGCCUCCGCCUGGACCGAGGUACGCGUUCUGCAAGGACGCUGGCGUAAUGGUCUCCAGCGACCCGUCUUGAAACACGGACCAAGGAGUCGAGGUUUUGCGCGAGUGUUUGGGUGAAAAACCCGCACGCGUAAUGAAAGUGAACGUAGGUGAGAGCUUCGGCGCAUCACCGACCGAUCCUGAUGUUUUCGGAUGGAUUUGAGUAAGAGCGUAGGGCCUCGGACCCGAAAGAUGGUGAACUAUGCUUGGAUAGGGUGAAGCCAGAGGAAACUCUGGUGGAGGCUCGCAGCGGUUCUGACGUGCAAAUCGAUCGUCAAAUCUGAGCAUGGGGGGCGAAAGACUAAUCGAACCAU